rnacentral:rRNA from 2 species
UGGGGAAUAUUGCACAAUGGGCGAAAGCCUGAUGCAGCGACGCCGCGUGAGGGAUGACGGCCUUCGGGUUGUAAACCUCUUUCAGCAGGGACGAAGCGCAAGUGACGGUACCUGCAGAAGAAGCACCGGCUAACUACGUGCCAGCAGCCGCGGUAAUACGUAGGGUGCAAGCGUUGUCCGGAAUUACUGGGCGUAAAGAGUUCGUAGGCGGUUUGUCGCGUCGUUUGUGAAAACCAGCAGCUCAACUGCUGGCUUGCAGGCGAUACUGGCAGACUUGAGUACUGCAGGGGAGACUGGAAUUCCUGGUGUAGCGGUGAAAUGCGCAGAUAUCAGGAGGAACACCGGUGGCGAAGGCGGGUCUCUGGGCAGUAACUGACGCUGAGGAACGAAAGCGUGGGUAGCGAACAGG